rnacentral:tRNA from 2 species
GCCGGAGUGGUGGAAGUGGAAGACGCGCCGGACUCAAAAUCCGGUGGUACUCGGUACUGUGCGGGUUCAAGCCCCGCCUCCGGCACCA